rnacentral:rRNA from 1 species
GAUGAACGCUGGCGGCAUGCCUAAUACAUGCAAGUCGUGCGCCCUACUUGUAGGGAGCGGCGGACGGGUGCGUAACGCGUGGGAAUCUGCCCUGAAGUGAGGGAUAAGCCCGAGAAAUCGGGUCUAAUACCGCAUAUGGUCUACGGAUUAAAGCCUUCGGGCGCUUCGGGAGGAGCCUGCGUUCGAUUAGCUUGUUGGUGAGGUAAUGGCUCACCAAGGCUAUGAUCGAUAGCUGGUCUGAGAGGAUGAUCAGCCACACUGGGACUGAGACACGGCCCAGACUCCUACGGGAGGCAGCAGUGGGGAAUAUUGGACAAUGGGCGAAAGCCUGAUCCAGCAAUGCCGCGUGAGUGAUGAAGGCCUUAGGGUUGUAAAGCUCUUUUACCAGGGAUGAUAAUGACAGUACCUGGAGAAUAAGCUCCGGCUAACUCCGUG